CCCACUUAAUCUUUGGCCCACAAUCUUUGGCCCAUGACAGGCACUAAAUAAAUGUCAUUUUUUUGCAUUAUUUACAUGCAUUAAUUUUAAUCAUUAAAACAACGCUUAAGUUAAAUAUCAUUAUCUAAUUUUACAGAUGGAAUACUGAAGCACAGACUACUUAAGUGAAGUGGCCAAAAUUACACAGCCAGAUACGUGGAAGAGCUAGAAUGGAAACUCACAUCUGUUUAACCCUGGAAAUAAUUAAACAAUACAAAACAAGAUGCAGGAUAAGUGCAUAUUCCGAUUUUGGACACACAGGAAAUGCUGAAAAUACCAUAAAACAGUAAACCUAUACUGAUAUGGAGCAGAGUUUUGCCAACUUGACACUCCUGACAUUCUGGACUGGAUAAUUCUUUGUCAUACAAGGACCAGCCUGUGCACUCUAAGACGUUUAGCAGCAUCCCAGGCCUCUCGCCCACUAGAUGCCAGUAGCACCUCCCCUGCAAGUGGUGACCACCAAAAGCCAUCUCCAGACAUUGUCAAAUGUUUCCUGAGACCCAAUGUUCUGGAAGUAUCAAGGAAGACUUCAAGCAGAAGGCAGGCUUUGAGAGGUCCUGCUUCCCCAUCCUUCCUGAUCUUGGACACAUAAACUUUCGCAGGUGGAAAUGUCCUCCCGACUUUCCUGUGAACUAAAGGUUUUCACUGCCACUGCUGCUCACCAUGCUAGGGGCACCUGCCUCACUCUUUGAGAAAGAAACCUGAGAUCCAAUGGUUCGUCCUCAUUCCUGCCUCUUCGAUCCUCGAGAUUUCAAAGUGGAUAUAUUUAUGGAUCUGAAGCUUUGCCAUGAAGAGGCACCAUGCACCUCCUCAUUCCCACCUCUUAACAUUUCCACGGCUUUUGGAGACAGUCCUCUCUUGUUCUUGUUCCAUGUAAAAGACCUGGAGUGUGACCUCGUUGUCCCCAUGGGUAAGUUUUAUCUCUUGGAAUGAAGCUUUGUGGCCCCAAAUGUUUCUGGGAUCUUAGUGCCCACUGAGAGGCACAGGCACCAGGGAAAAUGAAUGGAUGCUUAUAAGAAGGAGAGUUGACCGUUACCCUCUCUCCUGGUACAGCAGUUGGGGACCUCUGGCUCUAGACACAUUUUUAUAUCAUAGGUAGAGAAGGCAAGAAUGCUAUUGCCACAGUCUUUUUUUUUUUUUUUUUUUAUGGGUGGUGGAGGUUUCUCCCAUGAGACAAAUCAAGACCUAGCAGUAGUUCCUGUAAACUAAGUCUCUCAGUCACCAGCCCCAUCCCUGAGAACUGGAUGGGACCAAAAUGUGGCAGACAGCACAGUCAGGGGGAAGAGCAGCCAACUCAAGCCAGAGUCUAAGAGACAGCUUGACCCAGCUCUGCCUUUGCUACUUCCCAGCUG
rnacentral:lncRNA from 1 species